AUUGAACGCUGGCGGCAUGCUUUACACAUGCAAGUCGAACGGUAACAGGUUAAGCUGACGAGUGGCGAACGGGUGGGUAAUGCAUCGGAACGUGCCCGGUCGUGGGGGAUAACGCAGCGAAAGCUGCGCUAAUACCGCAUACGAUCUGAGGAUGAAGGCGGGGGACCGUAAGGCCUCGCGCGAUCGGAGCGGCCGAUGUCAGAUUAGGUAGUUGGUGGGGUAAAGGCUCACCAAGCCGACGAUCUGUAGCUGGUCUGAGAGGACGACCAGCCACACUGGGACUGAGACACGGCCCAGACUCCUACGGGAGGCAGCAGUGGGGAAUUUUGGACAAUGGGCGCAAGCCUGAUCCAGCAAUGCCGCGUGCAGGAAGAAGGCCUUCGGGUUGUAAACUGCUUUUGUACGGAGCGAAAAGGCUCUCUCUAAUACAGGGGGCUCAUGACGGUACCGUAAGAAUAAGCACCGGCUAACUACGUGCCAGCAGCCGCUGUAA
rnacentral:rRNA from 1 species